rnacentral:rRNA from 1 species
UACGUAGGGGUGCGAGCGUUGUCCGGAAUUAUUGGGCGUAAAGAGCUUGUAGGCGGUUUGUCGCGUCUGCCGUGAAAAUUCGAGGCUCAACCUCGAACUUGCGGUGGGUACGGGCAGACUAGAGUGUGGUAGGGGAGACUGGAAUUCCUGGUGUAGCGGUGAAAUGCGUAGAUAUCGAGAGGAAUACCAACGGCGAAGGCAGCACUCUGGGCAGUUUCUGACACUGAGGCACGAAGGCUAGGGGAGCAAACGGG